ensembl:rRNA 5S_rRNA 5S ribosomal RNA
GUCUAUGGCCAUACCACCCUGAACAUGCCUGAUCUUGACUGAUCUCAGAAGCUAAGCAGGGUCGGGCCUGGUUAAUACUCAGAUGGGAGAAAGUUAUGACUGAGGAAG